rnacentral:rRNA from 1 species
AGUACCGAAGUCUUUGAUUCCACACUGCCAAGAAAAGCCUCUAGCGAGAUGCAAGGUGCCCGUACCGCAAACCGACACAGGUAGGCGAGGAGAGAAUCCUAAGGUGAGCGAGUGAACUCUCGUUAAGGAACUCGGCAAAAUGACCCCGUAACUUCGGGAGAAGGGGUGCUCUAUUAGGGUGCAAGCCCGAGAGAGCCGCAGUGAAUAGGCCCAGGCGACUGUUUAGCAAAAACACAGGUCUCUGCGAAACCGUAAGGUGAAGUAUAGGGGCUGACACCUGCCCGGUGCUGGAAGGUUAAGAGGAGUGCUUAGCGCAAGCGAAGGUGCGAAUUGAAGCCCCAGUAAACGGCGGCCGUAACUAUAACGGUCCUAAGGUAGCGAAAUUCCUUGUCGGGUAAGUUCCGACCCGCACGAAAGGUGCAACGAUCUGGGCACUGUCUCAACGAGAGACUCGGUGAAAUUAUAGUACCUGUGAAGAUGCAGGUUACCCGCGACAGGACGGAAAGACCCCGUGGAGCUUUACUGCAGCCUGAUAUUGAAUUUUGGCACAGCUUGUACAGGAUAGGUAGGAGCCUUGGAAACCGGAGCGCCAGCUUCGGUGGAGGCAUUGGUGGGAUACUACCCCCGCUGUGUUGAACUUCUAACCCUCACCCGU